rnacentral:rRNA from 1 species
CCGGGCCGACCGGGCGCACGGGUCGAGGUAACACGUAACUGCAAACCUGCCCGUCCUUCCUAGGGGGACGAACCUUCCGUAAAGGGAAGGGCUAAUCCCGCGUAUUAUCGGUUUCGGGUCGAUCCCGAGAUCGAGGAAAGAUUCAUCGGAAGAGGAUGGGCAUGCGGCGCAUUAGCUUGACGGCGGGGUAACGGCCCACCGUGGCGACGAUGCGUAGGGGUUCUGAGAGGAAGGUCCCCCACACUGGUACUGAGACACGGACCAGACUCCUACGGGAGGCAGCAGUGAGGAAUAUUGGUCAAUGGGAGAGAUCCUGAACCAGCCAAGCCGCGUGAGGGAAGACGGCCCUAUGGGUCGUAAACCUCUUGUGUCGGAGAACAAAACCCGGGACGUGUCCCGGACUGCGUGUAUCCGAAGAAAAAAGCAUCGGCUAACUCCGUG